GACGAACGCUGGCGGCGUGCUUAACACAUGCAAGUCGAACGGAAAGGCCCCUUUGGGGGUACUUGAGUGGCGAACGGGCGAGUAACACGUGAGUAACCUGCCCUUGACUUCGGGUUAACUUCAGUAAACUGGGGCUAAUACCGGAUAGGAAUCCUUGCUGCAUGGUGGGGGUUGGAAAGCUUCGGCGGUUUGGGGUGGACUCGCGGCUUAUCCGCUUGUUGGUGGGUUAGUGGCUUACCUAGGCAUUGACGGGUAGCCGGCCUGAGAGGGCGACCGGCCACAUUGGGAAUGGGGUACGGCCCAGGAUCCUACGGGAGGCAGCAGUGGGGAAUAUUGCACAAUGGGCGGAAGGCUGAUGCAGCAACGCCGCGUGCGGGAUGACGGCCUUCGGGUUGUAAACCGCUUUCAGCAGGGGAGAAGCUUGUGGUGACGGUACCUGCAGAAGAAGCACCGGCUAACUACGUG
rnacentral:rRNA from 1 species